AUUGAACGCUGGCGGCAGGCCUAACACAUGCAAGUCGAGCGAGCGGCGGACGGGUGAGUAAUGUAUGGGGACUGCCCGAUGGAGGGGGAUAACUACUGGAAACGGUGGCUAAUACCGCAUACUAUCGGAUAACCCAUAUGGGAUUAGCUAGUAGGUGGGGUAAAGGCUCACCUAGGCGACGAUCUCUAGCUGGUCUGAGAGGAUGAUCGGCCAAAUUGGGACGGGAAAACGGCCCAGAUCCCUAGGGAGGGAAGAGGGGGGAAUAUUGCACAUUGGGCGAAGGCCGAAUGAGGCCAUGCCGGGUGUAGGAAGAGGGCCUUAGGGUUGUAAAGUACUUUCAGCGGGAAGGCGUUACCCGCAGAAGAAGCACCGGCUAACUCCGUGCCAGCGGCCGCGGUAUUC
rnacentral:rRNA from 1 species